rnacentral:piRNA from 1 species
UAAAUGCUGGUCCUAUUCCUGGUUC